rnacentral:rRNA from 1 species
UACGAAGGACCCGAGCGUUAUCCGGAUUUAUUGGGUUUAAAGGGUGCGUAGGCGGAUUAGUAAGUCAGUGGUGAAAGCCCAUCGCUUAACGGUGGAAUUGCCAUUGAUACUGCUAGUCUUGAGUAUGGUUGAGGUGGGCGGAAUGUGUCAUGUAGCGGUGAAAUGCUUAGAUAUGACAUAGAACACCAAUUGCGAAGGCAGCUCACUACGGGAAUAUUGACACUGAGGCACGAAAGCGUGGGGAUCAAACAGG